CCUAGGGGGGCAGCAGUGGGGAAUAUUGGACAAUGGGCGAAAGCCUGAUCCAGCCAUGCCGCGUGUGUGAAGAAGGCCUUCGGGUUGUAAAGCACUUUCAGUGGGGAAGAAAGCCUUGGGGCUAAUACCCUCGAGGAAGGACAUCACCCACAGAAGAAGCACCGGCUAACUCCGUGCCAGCAGCCGCGGUAAUACGGAGGGUGCGAGCGUUAAUCGGAAUUACUGGGCGUAAAGCGCGCGUAGGCGGUCUGAUAAGCCGGUUGUGAAAGCCCCGGGCUCAACCUGGGAACGGCAUCCGGAACUGUCAGGCUAGAGUGCAGGAGAGGAAGGUAGAAUUCCCGGUGUAGCGGUGAAAUGCGUAGAGAUCGGGAGGAAUACCAGUGGCGAAGGCGGCCUUCUGGACUGACACUGACGCUGAGGUGCGAAAGCGUGGGUAGCAAACAGGAUUAGAUACCCGUGUAGUC
rnacentral:rRNA from 1 species